ACGCUCUUCCAAUCAAGAACCCCCAAAAGGAAGCAACAGAAAGCAAUUUUCUUUCCUCUAAUUAGUAGCUUAUUGUUUUUAUAUCAGAAUCACUGAUUUGGGACCAAAUUCUCCUCAAGCAACUCUAUGAAUUAUUAUUUUUAGAAAAAUUGGUAUCUAUUCAUCUAUCUUUCCAAUUUCUUGUUGAGAUUCUUCCUCAGACAUUAAAAAGAAGAGGAAAAAGAGAAGGAGGAGGAGGAAGGAGGAGGAGGAGGAGGAGGAGGAGGAG